rnacentral:rRNA from 1 species
AGAGUUUGGAUCAUGGCUCAGGACGAACGCUGGCGGCGUGCUUAACACAUGCAAGUCGAGCGGAAAGGCGUCCUUCGGGGGUACUCGAGCGGCGAACGGGUGAGUAACACGUGAGUAAUCUGCCCUUGGCUUUGGGAUAACUACCGGAAACGGUGGCUAAUACCGGAUACGACCACUCCUUGCAGGAGGUGGUGGUGGAAAGUUUUUUCGGCCAGGGAUGUGCUCGCGGCCUAUCAGCUUGUUGGUGGGGUAAAUGGCCUACCAAGGCUUCGACGGGUAGCCGGCCUGAGAGGGUGACCGGCCACACUGGGACUGAGACACGGCCCAGACUCCUACGGGAGGCAGCAGUGGGGAAUAUUGGACAAUGGGCGGAAGCCUGAUCCAGCAACGCCGCGUGAGGGAUGACGGCCUUCGGGUUGUAAACCUCUUUCAGUACCGACGAAGCGCCGAUGAUGGUGGUGACGGUAGGUACAGAAGAAGCACCGGCCAACUACGUG